rnacentral:rRNA from 1 species
GACGAACGCUGGCGGCGUGCUUAACACAUGCAAGUCGAACGGAAAGGCCCUGCUUUUGUGGGGUGCUCGAGUGGCGAACGGGUGAGUAACACGUGCGUAACCUGCCCUUGACUUUGGGAUAACUUCAGGAAACUGGGGCUAAUAUCGGAUAGGAGCUCCUGCUGCAUGGUGGGGGUUGGAAAGUUUCGGCGGUUGGGGAUGGACUCGCGGCUUAUCAGCUUGUUGGUGGGGUAGUGGCUUACCAAGGCUUUGACGGGUAGCCGGCCUGAGGGGGUGACCGGCGACAUGGGGACUGAGAGAGGGCGCAGACUGGUACGGGAGGCAGCAGGGGGAAAUAUGGCACAGUGGGCGCAAGCGUGGUGCAGCAACGCCGCGUGCGGGAUGACGGCUUGCAGGGAGUAAACCGCUUCCGCCUGUGACGAAGCGUGAGUGACGGUAAUGGAUAAAGAAGCACCGGCUAACUACGUG